GACGAACGCUGGCGGCGUGCUUAACACAUGCAAGUCGAACGAUGAAGCUAGAGCUUGCUCUGGUGGAUUAGUGGCGAACGGGUGAGUAACACGUGAGUAACCUGCCCCGAACUCUGGGAUAACUGCUGGAAACGGUAGCUAAUACCGGAUAUGACCAAUGAAGGCAUCUUCUGUUGGUGGAAAGAAUUUCGGUUCGGGAUGGACUCGCGGCCUAUCAGCUUGUUGGUGAGGUAACGGCUCACCAAGGCGACGACGGGUAGCCGGCCUGAGAGGGUGAUCGGCCACACGGGGACUGAGACACGGCCCAGACUCCUACGGGAGGCAGCAGUGGGGAAUAUUGCACAAGGGGCGCAAGCCUGAUGCAGCAACGCCGCGUGAGGGACGACGGCCUUCGGGUUGUAAACCUCUUUUAGUAGGGAAGAAGCGAAAGUGACGGUACCUGCAGAAAAAGCACCGGCUAACUACGUGCCAGCCGCCGCCGUAA
rnacentral:rRNA from 1 species